rnacentral:rRNA from 1 species
AGUGAACGCUGGCGGUAGGCCUAACACAUGCAAGUCGAACGGCAGCACAGUAAGAGCUUGCUCUUACGGGUGGCGAGUGGCGGACGGGUGAGGAAUACAUCGGAAUCUACUUUUUCGUGGGGGAUAACGUAGGGAAACUUACGCUAAUACCGCAUAUGACCUACGGGUGAAAGCAGGGGAUCUUCGGACCUUGCGCGAUUGAAUGAGCCGAUGUCGGAUUAGCUAGUUGGCGGGGUAAAGGCCCACCAAGGCGACGAUCCGUAGCUGGUCUGAGAGGAUGAUCAGCCACACUGGAACUGAGACACGGUCCAGACUCCUACGGGAGGCAGCAGUGGGGAAUAUUGGACAAUGGGCGCAAGCCUGAUCCAGCCAUACCGCGUGGGUGAAGAAGGCCUUCGGGUUGUAAAGCCCUUUUGUUGGGAAAGAAAAGCAGCAGGUUAAUACCCCGCUGUUCUGACGGUACCCAAAGAAUAAGCACCGGCUAACUUCGU